UACUGUGUAUCUUGUAAGUCGCUUUGGAUAAAAGCGUCUGCUAAAUGACUAAAU
rfam:Danio rerio chromosome 3, GRCz11 reference primary assembly.